CAUUUACAUUACUAUUUAUUAACACAUUUACUAAGGGACAGUACUACAGGGUAUUAGAAUGACAUUACAUUUUUCUGUGUUAGGGAGGCGUAAACCACCAGCAACACUCUCAAAACCAGACUGGCCUGAUGAAUAUAGUGCUACUGCAUCUCCACGGCCAGUGAGGGUUCCUUUUACCUCCAGAGUUGCUUGAAUUAUCUACAAGCAAGACCACAUCGCCUUUGAGACCAGUGCAGGAAACCGUGUUCUGUCAGUCCCUCAUCCCAGUGACCUCUGUACAGUCUACAGCCUCUACUCCUCCCUCAGGACCCCUUGCAGCUGCUG